AGAGUUUGAUCCUGGCUCAGGACGAACGCUGGCGGCGUGCCUAAUACAUGCAAGUAGAACGCUGAAGAGAGGAGCUUGCUCUUCUUGGAUGAGUUGCGAACGGGUGAGUAACGCGUAGGUAACCUGCCUUGUAGCGGGGGAUAACUAUUGGAGACGAUAGCUAAUACCGCAUAACAAUGGAUGACACGUGUCAUUUAUUUGAAAGGGGCAAUUGCUCCACUACAAGAUGGACCUGCGUUGUAUUAGCUAGUAGGUGAGGUAACGGCUCACCUAGGCGACGAUACAUAGCCGACCUGAGAGGGUGAUCGGCCACACUGGGACUGAGACACGGCCCAGACUCCUACGGGAGGCAGCAGUAGGGAAUCUUCGGCAAUGGGGGCAACCCUGACCGAGCAACGCCGCGUGAGUGAAGAAGGUUUUCGGAUCGUAAAGCUCUGUUGUAAGUCAAGAACGAGUGUGAGAGUGGAAAGUUCACACUGUGACGGUAGCUUACCAGAAAGGGACGGCUAACUACGUGCCAGCAGCCGCGGUAAUACGUAGGUCCCGAGCGUUGUCCGGAUUUAUUGGGCGUAAAGCGAGCGCAGGCGGUUUGAUAAGUCUGAAGUUAAAGGCUGUGGCUCAACCAUAGUUCGCUUUGGAAACUGUCAAACUUGAGUGCAGAAGGGGAGAGUGGAAUUCCAUGUGUAGCGGUGAAAUGCGUAGAUAUAUGGAGGAACACCGGUGGCGAAAGCGGCUCUCUGGUCUGUAACUGACGCUGAGGCUCGAAAGCGUGGGGAGCGAACAGGAUUAGAUACCCUGGUAGUCCACGCCGUAAACG
rnacentral:rRNA from 1 species